rnacentral:rRNA from 1 species
AGUGAACGCUGGCGGUAGGCCUAACACAUGCAAGUCGAACGGCAGCACAGUAAGAGCUUGCUCUUACGGGUGGCGAGUGGCGGACGGGUGAGGAAUACAUCGGAAUCUACUUUUUCGUGGGGGAUAACGUAGGGAAACUUACGCUAAUACCGCAUACGACCUACGGGUGAAAGCAGGGGAUCUUCGGACCUUGCGCGAUUGAAUGAGCCGAUGUCGGAUUAGCUAGUUGGCGGGGUAAAGGCCCACCAAGGCGACGAUCCGUAGCUGGUCUGAGAGGAUGAUCAGCCACACUGGAACUGAGAAACGGUCCAGACUCCUACGGGAGGCAGCAGUGGGGAAUAUUGGACAAUGGGCGCAAGCCUGAUCCAGCCAUACCGCGUGGGUGAAGAAGGCCUUCGGGUUGUAAAGCCCUUUUGUUGGGAAAGAAAAGCAGCAGGUUAAUACCCCGCUGUUCUGACGGUACCCAAAUAAUAAGCACCGGCUAACUUCGUG